rnacentral:rRNA from 1 species
UGUUUCCUCGGGGGGCAGCAGUGAGGAAUAUUGGUCAAUGGUCGGGAGACUGAACCAGCCAAGCCGCGUGAGGGAUGAAGGUACAGAGUAUCGUAAACCUCUUUUGUCAGGGAACAAAGGCGGGGACGUGUCCCCGGAUGAGUGUACCUGAAGAAAAAGCAUCGGCUAACUCCGUGCCAGCAGCCGCGGUAAUACGGAGGAUGCGAGCGUUAUCCGGAUUUAUUGGGUUUAAAGGGUGCGCAGGCGGUCUGUUAAGUCAGUGGGCAAAGCCCGGGGCUCAACCCCGGCCCGCCGUUGAAACGGGC